AUGGGGCAGCUCCCGUUUGAAGAAACAACGUCUCCCAGCAACAUCCAGGUCUUCCUGGUGCCCCCGUCUCCCACAGCCCUGUACGUGGCCCAGAGCCCCAUGAUCACCUGCCUGGUGGUCAACCUGCCUAGCAACUCCGGCCUCCAGGUGGUCUGGUCCCGAGAGAAGCCGGGGUCCAUUGUCCCUGAACCGCUGAACCUCACUGAGCAGCUCAACAGCACCUUCACCGCCUCCAGCUCCAUGCCCAUCUUCACCCGCGACUGGGAGGACGGAGAGAACUUCACCUGCACAGUGAAGCACUCAGAGCUGACCUCGCCCCUCAUCAAAUCGAUCUCCAAGAAGCCAGGCAGGCGCUCUGGCCCUGGCAUCUACCUCCUGCACCCCCACAACGAGGAGCUGAGCAGCUCCGAAGAGUCCAUCAGCCUCACCUGCCUGGUGAGGGGCUUCUUCCCCGAGGACAUCUCGGUGCAGUGGAUGAAGAACCACAAACCCGAUGAGAGUUUGGAAUACAUCACCACCCAGCCCAUCAAGGACGGAGCCGGCGACUCGAACUUCUUCCUCUACAGCAAGCUGAAAGUCAGCAAGGCCAGCUGGAACACUGGGGACACCUACACCUGCAUGGUCAUCCACGAAGCCCUGCAGAUGAAGUUCACCCAACGCAGCGUCAGCAAAGUCUCUGAGGUGAUCGUGUCAGGUGAGUUUUGCAGCGAGGACGGAGACGAGGAGCUGGACGGCCUCUGGUCCACCAUCUCGGUCUUCAUCACCCUCUUCCUCCUGAGCGUGUGCUACAGCGCCACCAUGACCCUGUUCAAGGUGAAGUGGCUUUUCUCUGCCAUGGUGCAGCUGAAGCAGGCGAGUGGCCCCGAGUACAAGAACGUGAUCCAGGGCGUGGUGUAGGGGCCACUGCCCUCAUCCACCCGGAGACAAGGGGCUGAGACACCCGGCUCCAUUGGCGACACCACCCUGAGUCCCACAGCUGCCCCCCGCUAGCGCUGUGCCCCUGGGAGAGCCCCCGGGGGGAGACAGGACCUCACCCCACAUGGCCUAAUCAGCCCUCAGCCACUGGGGAUGCUGCCCUGCUCGGAGCUUGACUGAGACCGGACAACUCGUAUCAUGCAGGGAACCAGCGCCCCUAGCGAGGA